GUGGGGAAUCUUGCGCAAUGGGCGAAAGCCUGACGCAGCCAUGCCGCGUGAAUGAUGAAGGUCUUAGGAUUGUAAAAUUCUUUCACCGGGGACGAUAAUGACGGUACCCGGAGAAGAAGCUCCGGCUAACUUCGUGCCAGCAGCCGCGGUAACACGAAGGGGGCUAGCGUUGCUCGGAAUUACUGGGCGUAAAGGGCGCGUAGGCGGACAGCUUAGUCAGAGGUGAAAGCCCAGGGCUCAACCUUGGAAUUGCCUUUGAUACUGGCUGUCUUGAGUUUGGGAGAGGUGAGUGGAACUCCGAGUGUAGAGGUGAAAUUCGUAGAUAUUCGGAAGAACACCAGUGGCGAAGGCGACUCACUGGCCCAAUACUGACGCUGAGGCGCGAAAGCGUGGGGAGCAAACAGGAUUAGAAACCCCGGUAGUCC
rnacentral:rRNA from 1 species